AAAAUUAGAGUGUUCAAAGCAGGCAGAUCCAAUUCUCUGCCACCGAAUACAUUAGCAUGGGAUAAUGGAAUAGGACCCUGUCCUCCUAUUUUCAGUUGGUUUUGGCAGCGCGAGGACUAGGGUAAUGAUUAAUAGGGAUAGUUGGGGGCAUUAAUAUUUAAUUGUCAGAGGUGAAAUUCUUGGAUUUAUGAAAGAUUAACUUCUGCGAAAGCAUCUGCCAAGGAUGUUUUCAUUAAUCAAGAACGAAAGUUAGGGGAUCGAAGACGAUCAGAUACCGUCGUAGUCUUAACCAUAAACGAUGCCGACCAGCGAUUAGGAGACGUUGAAUACAAAACACCACCAUCGGUGCGGCUGUUCUUGGCGUCGGUUUCGGCCGGCGCGGGGACGGCUUAGCCCGGUGGCACCGGUGAA
rnacentral:rRNA from 1 species